rnacentral:lncRNA from 1 species
UUUCUGGGCUUCACAAAUCUGUUGAACAAAUAACGGUUUUGCUUUCAACUCAGCUACUAUCGCACCAUUAUCAGACAUAACCAUAUGUGCGUUCAUUACACGCAAAGCAAACAGUGAUUUUCGACUUAGGGCAUCAGCAACAACAUUAGCCUUUCCCGGAUGAUAGUCAAUCACAAGCUCGUAAUCUUUCAGCAAUUCUAACCAUCGACGCUGUCUCAAAUUCAGAUCUUUCUGAGUCAUCA